UUAACUGUUGCGAUUAGAAAUAGUAGAUCUGAAUCGAACUUGCAGAGAGCCGUUGGUUGGUGCAAAACGGCAGUAUCGAUCAUUUCGAACUCGUCUAUGAACUGCUGCCUGACAAUGUAGGGUAAGCCGGAAUUCCACCGUUACAGGGAUAGAUGGUGAUGGCCAUCGAAAGAGCUCAUUUCGAAUGAAAUGAAGUAGAGUGGUACCGCGAGUUCAACCUCGCCUCUAUA
rnacentral:ncRNA from 1 species